CGACGCAGCGUUCUAGAACACGUGCAUUUUUGGCCUAGUUAGAUCUACAGGCUUGGGUGUUUCGACGGUGACCGGGUGAAGGCCAUUCUCUCUGAAAGCCAAGGUCGUAUUUUUGACAGUCGACCGGCCGGUGAACAUUUGGCAUUGAAGUGCUUGGAUCAUUUAAGGAAGUUCAAAUUUAUCUUUCUACUUAAUACAUCAAGAAAACCAGUAAAGAUGGUUAUCAAAUCAAUUCAUGCACGUCAAAUUUUUGACAGCCGUGGAAACCCCACUGUUGAAGUUUGAUUUAACAACAGAUAAAGGUAUGUUCAGGGCGGCUGUACCAAGUGGAGCUUCUACUGGAAUUUAUGAGGCUGUUG